GGGGUGGCUACGUGCCCUACGUGUCUAAGCUUGGACAAGGGGAGGGGGUCCUUGAAGAGCAGAAAGGGGUGGCUACGUGCCCUACGUGCCUCGCGGUUUCUUUGUUAAGCUUGAACAAGCACAGGGGAGGGGGCUUAUGUGUGUACCAGGAUGUUCUGUCGCCCUUAUCUCUGGGUAGUAGCUAUCUGCUUUCUCUGUGAACUUAGUUUACUCCCCAUUUCCCAGGACUGUUUCUGGAAUUGCUUGUCUCAAUUUCUGUUUUUGUUUGUUUGUUUGUUUGUUUGUUUUUUAUUUUAUUAAGGCCAUUUUAUGGCGGCUCUCGGCCACUCCUUUCACCGUCCACGCUACGUGGUAAUCGAAUUGCCCAGUAGAGUUUCACCUGUUUUUGGUGACCUACAGAUUUUAAACUUAUAUUUUAUUCUUCAUUUGACUUUUCUCUUUGUGAACAAAGAGGUAAUCAUAAUAAUAAUUAGCAGUAUCGCGGCACUGAGGAAAACAGCCAUUGGGUGGGCUGGUCUGUCCAGGACCUAAGCUGACAGAACAGAGCUCUAAAACAACAUAGGGAGCCGGCGCUGUGGCGUACUGGGCUAAGCCUCCGCCUGUGGCACCAGCAUCCCAUGUGGGCGCCGGUUCAUGUCCCGGCUGCUCCUCUUCCAAUCCAGCUCUCUGCUUAUGGCCUGGGAAAGCAGGGGAAGAUGGCCCAAGUCCUUGGGCCUCUGCACCUGCCUGGGAGACCUGGAAGAAGCUCCUCGCUUCAGUCGGGCCCAGCUGUUGCGGCCAUUUGGGGAGUAAACCCGUGAAUGGAAAACCUUUCUCUCUGUCUCUCCCUCUCUCUGUCUAUAACUCUACAUUUCAAAUAAAUAAAAUAAAAUCUUUAUAUAAAAAAACAACUGAACUCCUGCAAGAGUUACGGUUUCAGUUUAGCUAAAUCUCUGGAGCCCCAGUUUAAAAGUUCUUGUGCCUUCACCCCUAUAACAGAAGUGUCUGGGCUGCAACGUUAGAAGGCACAGAAUAAAGCUCUCCAGGACAGAGUGUCGGAUCCGCAAUCAUAUUUUUGAUGAGCGCUGCUUCUCAAUAGUAGAGAAUGACUUCUAGGGUCCUCUGGAGAGGGUGCCAAAGCCCCCUGGGGACUGUUGAUGCUACACACUUUUGUCUUGUAAAUGUAACGCCCUUGGAAAAGAUAAGAAAAUGCCAGGGGCUGUGGCAGCUGGGUCUGAAAGCUGUCUGCUUGCACUUCCCGGGGCUCCACUGGCUGGUGUCCUGCGCUUCUCCAAAGUCAUCUUACUCUUGUCUGCGAAACAAUUAGUUACCUGGAGAAAAUGCCUUCCGCUAGCGUGUGCACACGCUCCUCUUGCGCUGGCCUGUCGAUCAGAAGUGAGGGGAGUGAAUUAUCACCCACGGUGGGGGAUGGACCCUCCCACCCAGGACAAGCGUGGCUUCCCACUAACACCAAACACACAGGGUCCCCUACAGCCCCGUGCCAUCAAUGGGGUUUCCUAUCUCGAACACUCUCCUGUCAAGGUCCUUGGACAGUGACAACAAACCGCCCAGUGUCACCCGAGAGCUCUUUGCCGUUGUUACCAAGGAGACGGAGAAACUCCCACACGCAGAGUAAGUGUUAACGUCACGGCUGUGCCAGCUCUGACAAGGUGUGGGGCAGCUCCGGGAGAUCCUCUGCAGCCGCCGGUGCUGUCACCCAGACGACCUCCCCCACGUUUCACGCUCAGCCGAGGCCCCGCCCACACACAGGCCAGCUUCUAACUCCCUGCCUAAGGCUGUUGCGUAAUCAGGAAGGAGACUUGUAAAAGUAAAGAUACUGACCACCACGGAGCCUCUGCCCAUGCCCGCGGCUUCUGCAUCGUCUCUAAUUGUCCGAAGCUGAAGACCAGGCUGGUUAAGAACGUGUCGGCAGCACCAGAAAGCCAAGGUCCACCUCUCUCUGAAAGGCCCCGAGUCCCGCCACGCUCCCCAGACGCAGCUGUGGCUGCGAACAGAGGCUGAGCUUGAACAGAAAGACCCUCAUUAGACACACAGAAGAGCAGAGUGGGAAGGGGGCUUAGGGAGAACCCCCUACAUGGAGGAGAAAACCGCUGCCUGAAGGGGGCGUCGCCAAGUCCAAGGUCGCAGAGCCGGGGGGGCCCCUGAGCAGGGAGCCGCUUCUUCCUCCUGGCUUCCCUGGCUGCCUGCGGCUUCUUCCUCCCACGCUGCCCCCUCACGCUCCAGCCACACACCUGCCACAAGGGGGCAGUUCUGAGUGGGCGUGUGCAGCCCGGCGCAGAGGGGCAGCGGCAGGUUUUGAAUCUCGUGGCUUGUUUUUUUUCCACUUUCCUUGGGACUCUGCGAAUCCUAAGCGGACGGCAGUUGGGAGCCGUGCCAGCAGCUCGUUAGGCCGUGCUGUUCAGGGGAGGUGACGUGGGGUCCUCAGACAGACGGCGCGGGCAGCGAACUUCUCAUGGCGCGGGCAGCGAACUUCUCAUGGCAGUCAGUUGAGGAAGAGCAACACGGAGCCAGAACCUCCGUGUUUGGCUGAGCACCAGGCUCGGAGGGCUGCCAGCUAGGCAGAGACCUCUGGCCUGGAGACAGACGGGACCCUCGCUGCUGGCCUGGCCCUGCAGAACCCAGGGAGGUGCAGGGACCCUGCAGCCUCAGACGGGAGCACUUUCAGCAGCCGUUCUGUCGAAAGGAGAAAGGCUCACCUGUCCCCCUGGGCAGGGCUUCCGGCACCCAUCGGCUUAUUGGGUCAGAGCCCUGGGCUGGCUUCUGGGAUGUGUUGUUCCUUUCCUUUGGGGUUUCGUUUGUUUUGUUCUGAGGAUGUCUUGAGCUCGCAUAUUGUGCCCCGAGCAAGCGCAGGAGGGGACGGGUGUGACAAGGGGGUCCCCACCAUUGUCUGUUCUUCCUCCUGUGACCAGUUGUCUGCUCCCACGGUAGCAAGGUGACCCCCGCGGCCCCAGGCCGCACACCCAGCCUGCUGGAAAACUGUUGGCUCUAGCGAUCUUCUUGCCUACACACCUCCACACGCGAACGAUUACUCUCCUACUGGAGGGGUUUCCAAACGCGUGCGCACUUAGUGGUUGCAUCAGCGAGCUCCUGCUGCAUCACUCGCCACUGCAAGUAUAGAUCUGACUCGCUCUUCGGUCAGCGGGGCGUUUCUGGGCCUGCUGGAGCGUCUACGACCCGCUGGCACCUGGCCGGUGCCGGCUGCUCUGGGAGAGUCGGGAUGGAUGAAGGCGACCUCUGUCCACGCGGCUCUGACGUCCCUCCAGCAGGUCGGCCGGAGCGCGCUAUGUGUGGGAGGUGGCGCCGAGGCUGGCAAAGGCCGGGUGGAGCCACCUGGUUGCUUUGCUUCCUCCUGUGCCACAUCCCGGAGGCCGCGGCGGGCGGCCUGGCCAGACCCCGAGGGGGACGUGGGGGCUUCAGCAUCUACUGCGGGAGUAGAUGCGAGGAGGCCUGGUUCUAGCCUGAAAAUCUAAAAAAAGUACUUUUCAUUAUUUCUAGUUCUCUUCCAUACUCAGCUCCAGUGUGUGUGGCUGGACACGUUUUCACGUAUCUGCCAUUGGUUCUCUCACACACGAUUUACUGUUGGUGUUUACUCACGGGGAGCUCAUAAAGGUACCAGCUCUAGUUUUGGCUAUUUGGACAGAAGGUUGUGGAGGAACUAUGUGUGAAAUGCGUUUGUAUUUUCUUGCAAAAGAAGACAAUUUGACUUUUUCUUUGAUGAAAGUUUAUGAAUGACAGAAAUCCAAGUAUCUGCAUUAAAACCUCCGAUAGGAACUCCUUGCUCAAGAUACGCUGAGCCCCUGUUUGGGUCUUCAGAGUCAUUUUCAUGCUGUUCGUAAUGACAUGUUUGCAGGGAUUUCAAUUUUCUUUGCACUAAAAUGAGUAUCUUUUAACUUCAUUUUCCAUAAAGUUUUUGAGGUACCCUCACACUUGGAUGACUUUCUUAAAAUUCCUAACAUCAGGCCAGCGUUAUAGGGCAGCAGGUUAAGCUACUGCCUGCUUCCCAUGUCAAAGUGCCGGUUCAAGUCCUGGCCACUCCACUUCCAGCUCCCUGCUAAUGGCCUGGGAAGGCAGUGGAAGAUGGUCCAAGUGCUUGGGCCCCUGCACCCAUGUGGCAGACCUGGGUGGAGUUCCUGGCUCCUGGCUUCAGCUUGGCCCAGCCUUGGAUGUUGCAAGCAUUUGGGAAGUGAAACAGUAGAUGGAAGACUUUCUGUCUCUCCCUCUCUCUGUCACUCCACCUUUCAAAUAAAUGAACAAAUCUUUAAAAAUAAAUAAAACCCCUAACACAUGGAUUUAUUUUAUGAGAAUCUGGUUUGUUUGUUUUCUACUUUCUCUCUCUCUCUCUCUCUCUCUCUCUUUGACAGGCAGAGUUAGACAGUGAGAGAGACAGAGAGAAAGGUCUUCCUUCCGUUGGUUCAGCCCCCAAACGGCCGCUAGGGCCGGCGCGCUAUGCCCAUCCGAAGCCAGGAGCCAGGUGCUUCUUCCUGGUCUCCCAUGUGGGUGCAGGGCCCAAGCACUUGGGCCAUCCUUCACUGCCUUCCUGGGCCACAGCAGAGAGCUGGCCUGGAAGAGAAGCAACCGGGACACAAUCCGGCACCCCAGCUGGGACUAGAACCCGUGGUGUAGACGCCGCAGGCAGAGCAUUAGCCUAGUGAGCCAUGGUGCCAGCCUCUACUUUCUCUUAAGAUUUAUUUAUUUGAAAGGCAGAAUUACAGAGAGAGAGAGAGAGAGAGAGAGAGAGAGAGAGAAUCUUCUGUCUGUUGGUUCACUUCCCAGGUGUAGUUGGUUCACUCCACAAUGGCUGGGGCUGAGCCAGGCUGAAGCCAGGAGCUCUGUCCAGCUCUCCCAUGUGAGCAGUAGGAACCUAAACACUUGGGCCAUCUUCUGCUGCUUUUCCAGACAUUAGCAAGGGAGUUGGAUCAGAUGUAGAGCAGCCAGGACUCAAACUGCCACCCAUAAAGGAUGCUGGCACUGCAGGCUGGGGCGUUAACCUACUGCUCCACAGUGCCAGCCCCAGUGGAAAGUCACUCCCAGUCUCUAGCAAGGCUCUUCCUCCAGUGGCCUGGGUCGAGCAGGAUCCUCACCCUCGGGGAAGGAAACCAGGCUGGCCAGCGAGCAGGUGCAUCCUCAGGGCCACUACUUUCUUCCCCAAGUAGGUACAAGGUCAUGCCCCGGAGUCUGCCUGGAAUGCCAUCCAGCCGACAGCAGGCCCUCUGAGCUCCUGCUGGGGCAGUCCUCAUCUCUGGAUUACCUCACCCAGGUUACCCAAGGUCAGUCCAAAUUCUGUGGCUUGCAAGGCAUCCACCAGCUGCCUGCUCUCAGCAUCGUCCGCCCCUGUUUAUUGGUUAUCAAUCCCUGUAGAACAAAUCGUCACAACCUAGGCAGCUUAGAAACAGUCCACUCUAUCGUGUCCAGCUUCCUGGGGCUCGGAGUCCCGUGAGGCUUUGCUCGCUCCUCUGCUUCGGGUCUCACAAGGUGGCAAUCAGGGUGCACAUGGGGGCUGCAGUCUUAUCCGGACGCUCGACUGGAGAAGGAUCUGCUUCCUUGUGCCAGCUGUACCCGAUGGGCUUCCUGUUCUCUGGCUGCUGGUUGGAGGCCACCACGCGCCUGGCCCUGGGGGUUUCCCCACUGGCUCCUGGCUUCCUCGAAGCCGGUGAAGGAGUGAGGAGCUCCAGCCCGACAGGUACGAUCACGCACAUACACACAUCCCACACCUCCUGUCGCCUCUGUCCCCAGUUCUGUGGGUUCGAAGCAGGUCACUCUCAGCCCCAAGGGCUGUAAACUCCGGGAGGCCCUGGUGUUAGAAGCUGUGUUCCACAAGGCACAAUUUGUAUGGCAGCCACCAGGGCUCCUAGCAGCUCCCGGGACUGGCCAAGCACCGCCUGCUACGCUGCCUGUGUGCACGCUGUUCCCCCGCCGCCUGCUACGCUGCCUGUGUGCACGCUGUUCCCCCGCCGCCUGCUACGCUGCCUGUGUGCACGCUGUUCCCCCGCCGCCUGCUACGCUGCCUCUGUGCACACUGUUCCCCCGCCGCCUGCUACGCUGCCUGUGUGCACGCUGUUCCCCCGCCGCCUGCUAUGCUGCCUCUGUGCACGCUGUUCCCCCGCCGCCUGCUACGCUGCCUGUGUGCACGCUGUUCCCCCGCCUGGGGUUCCACAGCCUUGCCCCUGCCCACUGCAUCCUCAGGCCUCGCUUAGCUGUCUUCCUUUGAACUCUUGUCCGCAGCACCCAAAUCUGCACGGGUUUCUUCUAAUGCUUAUCGGCCUGCAUGGUAUUUUUUCUGUUUCCUUGUCAGUCCCCCUCACCCUCACCCAUGCCGGGGUUUGGAGUGGAAUGUCCCCAGCAUCCCCGGAGCCUGGUGUGUUGCGGCUGAGUGCGUGAACAAGAGAGACAACAGGCCCUGUCUUGGAGCCCAGGCCGCAGGGGCUGGCUGGUGGCGCGUCUCCCAGGAGCCCCAUUGUCCCCCCAGGAACCACGCUAGUACCGUCUGCCUUGCCCUGACUUUGAAAUAACUUCUGCCCUGCAAGUCUCAAGUGUACUUUCUUGGAACCUGUCUCGCUGUUCUCUGCCUUCCUCCUCCCCACGCCUGUAACUCCGUGGCCUGCCAAAAACUGGGAGCUUAUUAUGAAACCAGGAGGUGCCUUCUAUUAUCCCCGAGACCACGGAUGGAAAAUAUUAGCUUCUAUCUCAACUGAGGGCGGACAUGGCAAAGGCUCCUUGAGAUGUUAACUGUCAAGGAGAGGAGUCAGAGUGUUUCAUCUGCAUGAGUAAUUGUUUCCGAUGCUACCCAGAGAGACGCCAGAUUUAUAUCCCAGACACACGCUCCCCGGGCUAGGAGCGGCUGCCGCUGCAGAGUCGAGUCACGGACUGCCUCUGCCUUGUCUUCCUUCCCUUCUUGGAGCUGGUCAGAGCAGGAGUCGGGGGCGGGGGUAAGGGUGGAGGUGAAGGGGCAGAGGGCUCCGGGUGCCCACGCUGGGAGGAGUGGGCUCGGGAAGGUGCUGGGCGGAAGUGGAAGCCGGGCCCGGCCGGGUCCCGGUGGUCCGGAAGGCUGGCAAAGCCCAUGCAGGAGGCACAGGCUCAGCUCUGUUCCUCUUCCCUUCGCAGCCCUCCUCAAUCCACUGCCAGCCCUGGCAGCUUUGCCCGUGAGAUGCACCACGGCGCCAGCUCCUCCUCCUCCUCGCCUGCCCCUGCCCUCCGUCCAGGCCUGGGCGACGGCCUCCCUGUGGUCUUACCCGGGGCUUCCUAAGGACACCAGCCUGAGCGUUUUAUUCAGCGCUGACUUGAGAGCCUCUUUGGUUUUUUUCACAGCCCUUGGAAUGAAACCUCGGCCUGUGGGGCCCCGUCCCACUCUCCUCUUCUCGGCUAAGAUGGCUCUCUGCAUGCCAGCGUUUCCGUUCCUUGAACCCCCCAGGCUUGUCCUGCUGCUCUGUCUGUCUCUGGAACACAUGUGCUCCGGGGCUGGCAUUGUGCUGGAGCAGGUUAAGCCUCUGCCUGCAGUGCUGGCAUCCCGUAUGGGCACUGAUUCCUGUCCCGGCCGCUCCACUUCUGAUCCAGCUCCCUGCUAAUGGCCUGGAAAAACAGCAGAAGAUGGCUCAAGCGCUUGGGCCCCUGCACCUGACCUGGGUGAAGCUCCUGGCUCCUGGCUUCAGCCUGGUCCAGCCCCGACGUUGUGGCCAUUGCCACAUAUAUUCCAUAUAUACACGGAAGAAAACAGGAGCUCCCCACCCCCUCGCAUGGCCAGCUCCUUCCCAGUACUCAGGCCUCUUUGCUCCAAUGCCCCCUCUUACGAGGAGUCUUCCUGGACCACACACGGUCUGCUGCAGGCUUCCCUCCGUCACCCUCCAGCCUGUUACUGUCCUGCACUUGUUGAUUUCAUUGACCAUCUGCUCCUCCCACCGGUGUAGACAUCCACAAAGCUUGGUGGCAGUGGGGGGAGCCUGUCUCACUCACCGUUGGACUGGCAGCCUCCGGGAUCACGUCCAGUGUGGGGCAGGAGCCUGCCAACAUCUCCCGAAUGAAGAAAUGAAAGCCAGGUGCUGGAAGGCGGGAGGGAGAGCCAGCAAGGCGGCCACGGUCCCCUGGCAGGGGCAGGACUACCGCCGUCUGGGAACGGCCGAUGCACGCGCGGUCAAUACCGAAGACGACAGGAGCAACCGCUGCCACUAUGCUUGCGUUGUAAUCUCUGAAGUCGUCCAGGGUGCUUGCUAUCAGCGCAGGGCGGUUACAAAUCACUCCGACAAGGAGAACUGGCGGAGGAUACGCGGAGUGACUCAGUGCCAGAGAGGCCCCGAGGACGAGGGCGAGGAGGAGGAAGAAAACCAGGCAAAACCAAGCCAAACCCUGGGCGCUCACAGCCCGAGUGCGCAGACGCGCAAACUCCUGCAUUCCCAGCGCUGGCCGCACUCUGCAGCCUCAUGCAGUUACGUGUGUCAGAAGUCUGCAUGACUUACCUAUUAUCUUUUUCCUACUUUAGUCUUUAGAUUUUUAUUUACUUGGAAGACAGAGAGGUCUGCAAUCAUCUGGUUCAUUCCCCAAACACCUGCGACAGGCAAGACUGGGCCAGGCUGAAGACAGGAGUUAGGAACUCAAUCCAGAUUGCCCAAGUAUCUGAACUCUCAAUGUGCCUCCCAAGUCCUCAUCAGUAGGAAGCUGGAACAGAGAACAGAGCACUCUGAUAUAGGAUGCGAGUGUCCAAGUGGUGGCCCAUCCCGGAUUUGUAUCUUGAAAAGAGAUAAAGAUGGAGAUAGGUGUUUGGCCUAGAGGGAAAGUCCUUGGUUGGGGCACACGCAUCCCAUUUUACAGUGCCUGGGUUUGAGGCCCUGUUCCACUCCUCUUCCCAGCUGCCUGCUGAGUGCCCUAGGAGGAAGCAGAUGACAGAUCAAUUCCUUUGGUCCCAGUCAUCCACGUGGGAGACCUGGAUUGACUUUUCCAGGCUCUUGGCUUCCACUUGGCCCAUCCCUGGCCACUGGGCACAUUUGGGGAGUCACUGGUAAAUAGGAACUCACUCUGUUUCUCACUCUGUCUCUCAAAUCAGUAAUAAAAGCAAAUUUAAAAAAUAAACUUCAUUUGUUAAAAAAAAAAAAAAAGAUGGACCCAUACCCAACAGAAAAAUCUCUGGGUCCUUGAGUAUCAGGAAUCUGGGGAGGGUGAAAACCCAAAGGAGGAUCUGAGCGUAGCAACAGGUCAUCUGGUCGGGGCCUUUCAUUCUGACCCAUCGUGCAGUGAACGUGCUUGAUCCAGAAGGUUCUACAGAUAUUCCAGGCAGUGUUUCUGCACUGGAUAAACUGGGUCUGAGCGAUUACGUCGUAGUUUAAGUACAGUUCAUUCUUUUCCUAAAUGAAAGUCUCUAUUUCUGAUUUAUCUCCUUCCUAAGAGGGUGGAGGGAGAGUCUUCUGUUCCCCCACCACCUUGCAUAAAGGUCAUGCCCAGGCCAGGCAUUUCGACAUCACACACUUUUUUUUUUUUAAACAAUUUUAUUUAUUUAUUUGAGAGGUAGAGUUAUAGACAGAGAAAGGGAGAAAGAGAGAGCAAGGUCUUCUUUCUGUGGUUUACUCCCCAGGUGGCUGCAACAGCUGGAGCUGCGCUGAUCUGAACCCAGGAGCCAGGAACUCCCUCUGAGUCUUCCCUUGCGGGUGCAGGGCCCAAGGACUUGGGCCAUCUUCUACUGCUUUCCCAGACCACAGCAGAGAGCUGGAUUGGAAGAGGAGCAGCCAGGACUCCAAUGGGCGCCCAUAUGGGACGCCAGCACUGCAGGCAGAGGCUUAGCCCACUAUGCCACAGCGCUGGCCCCUCUCUUCCUCUUCCUAUGGAGCCACUGUUAGCACCCCACCUUCAUGAUCUCAUCUAACCCCGAAUUCUUCCCAAGGGCCCGCCUCCAAAUACCACUAACACAUGGAGCUGGGGAUGAGCGUCCAGCACGUAACUCUGGGGGCCAGCGGCAGACAACAGCAGCGUCUUAUUUCCGGUUCCUUAAGUUGCAGCAGGCCUGAGGCCAUCAGCAAGAAGGGUUUGGUCCUCCCAGUGGUUCUCAGGUGCCUGGUAGAUGUCAGGCCUACUGCAAACACCGUUCAGUGUCAGGGAGAUGGUUUUCAGGAUGCGGGGCCUGAACUGAAGCCCCACAGCGGUUCCUUGUCUCUAAAGUGAGGUUAAGAGCACAACACAGCAUUCUGGGAGAAGCUUGGGACACACGCUGGCCUUGCCCCUCACCCCGGCCUGUGGUUGGACGCCUUGCUCUUUGCAAAGACCCAAUUUCUUUAUCGUAAGAAGGCUGCCGCGCCGCGCUCCAAGGAAUGACCCACUUAAAGACAAUUGCUUCCUUCUGAUGGAUUAAAUGAAGAACCAUUUAAAACCACAGCCCAGCGAGCAAGAGCGAGAGGCUGCAGAGGAGAGAGCAGGUGAGGCGCUGUGCACCUGCACGAGGAAGCUGUGAGCUGGGACAAGCUCCAGGCGUGCACGGGCGGCCUCGGCAGCCAAUCCGAUUGCAGGACGCACCUGUGUAUCUCUGCUGACCUAAAGCGGCUGUCACAAAGCAGAACUUCAAAAACAGACAUCGUAAUUACAAAGCCCCCAGGGACUGGCCUCGCUGCAAGAUGCUUUGUCUUUCUGACCCUCCGACCGCUCUGUUUCACUGCAAACUCAAUACCCAUGGCCUUGGCUUCUGCUGCGCACGCUUCUUUCUGAGUACAUUUUUUAUGUGAAGUUGGCAAGAAGGGAAUUUCUCACUGAGCCGUGUUUCCAGCACACCCCAGGGUUCAUGUUGGAUUUGGCUGGAAAUGUUCGGAACCAGGAAACAAUUAGAUGUAGGGGUAUUUCGAUCCAACAAGGAUUGGCUGGGGCCCUUCUGAUGUUUCUAGCACUGGUUUGAUGCUGCGGGUACACAGGCGACUAAGAAUGGGUUUCUGUCUCCCAGGUAAUAAACUACCAUUGGUUGAAGGUGUUCUUGUGCCAAGGGGCUUUGCAAAAGUUAGUGCUGUUCCUUACAAAAACCUAGCAAGGUAGAUACCGUGAGGAAUAACAGGAUCAAGAAGGUGAAGUUGGCCGGCGCCGCGGCUCACUAGGCUAAUCCUCCGCCUAGCGGCGCCGGCACACCGGGUUCUAGUCCCGGUUGGGGCGCCGGAUUCUGUCCCGGUUGCCCCUCUUCCAGGCCAGCUCUCUGCUGUGGCCAGGGAGUACAGUGGAGGAUGACCCAGGUGCUUGGGCCCUGCACCCCAUGGGAGACCAGGAAAAGCACCUGGCUCCUGGCUCCUGCCAUCGGAUCAGCGCGGUGCACCGGCCGCAGCGCGCUGGCCGCGGCGGCCAUUGGAGGGUGAACCAACGGCAAAGGAAGACCUUUCUCUCUGUCUCUCUCUCUCACUGUCCACUCUGCCUGUCAAAAAAAAAAAAAAAAAAAAAAAAAGAA